rnacentral:lncRNA from 11 species
UUCCCAACAUGCUUGCUCUUUCUCCCUCUCUCCCUCCUUCCUGCCUUUUUCUCAGAACAAUUUGGCCAGUGCUUGCAGAAGGCUGUUCUAGCCUCAGGGAUUCUCACACAUACUUCUGUUGACAGAGAGUUCCUGUGUAGCAAGCUUUCUGUUAAAGAUCUAUUUGUGUCCUUUUCUAUUCUGCCCCAACAUUUGGAAGAUUUUCUAGCUGCUUGGUUUCUGCUCUUACACCCAUGGAAAACUUGAAUUUGGGAUUUUCUUGCAGAACAGGGAAGGAACAAAGAAAUCUUGGCUAAUAUUCAUGAUUCUCUACAUAACAGAGAAAAGGUUUAAGUCCUAAUAAAUAAAUGAAAAACUUCAUAAGAAAUCAUAAUACAAAUCACAUCUGGAAAUGCAAUUGGAUUUGGCCUUGCCUGAUGGAUGAAACUUGUAAGAAUGGAAACUCAACAAAUCAGUAAAUCGUCUUGUCCUGCACUUGCCAAUUCUGACAAGCUACUUGAGACUUCAGCAGAAAUAAAGGAUGAAAACAAAGUGAAGACCCACUGCCAUUUUCAGAAAAACAGUUCACAUCCAGUGCUUCUGUCUCAUUUGACAUACAAUGAAAUAUCUAUGGAAUUCACCACAGAUAUUGAUUCUCUAUAUACAGAUGGAACGUCUAAAGAAAAUCAGACUGAUGGAAAAUUACUGUAUCCCUCAGAUCACAAUGGAAUGGGUGAUCAAACUCAGCCUCCUUCUCAUCUUCUUCCUAAAUUAAGCUCUGAUGAGAAACCAGACAGAAAUAAUGAAAUUGAUCUUUUUAACAAGCAAAAUACUGGUAGCUGUUUAGACAUCAAAUUGUCAUCACCCAGUAAUAACUGUGUAUUCCAGAUCGAUGAGAUGACAAAUAUAGAUGUUUAUUCAUCAGAAGAUCAAGAAGAUGAUGAGGAUGAAGAUAUUUUUACAGAGCUACCAGUGAAUGAGACAGUCUUGGAAAGUAUGUACAAAACAUACCUUUUUCAAGCAAGAGGAGACAGACAUCACAACAUUAGCAAUAAAGGCCACCUUCCUCCUGUCAUUGGUUGCAGUGAUCACAAUCAGAAGACACUGAAAGACUACAAAAUGCAUGUGCAGGCACAGUCUGUAAAGGAAGGGGAAUGUUCAGAAUCUAUGUUGCAUCUGAUGAAGAAACUGGAACAGCUGAAUCUGGAUAUCGAAGAAGCUCUCAGCACUGGCUCCUCUCCUUCUGGGACUCCACACACCAAACGGCAUAAACAGAUGAUGCUGUCUCAAAAGCUGGAUAGAGAAAAAGCAGGUAGGUCUGUAACUUUUUAAAAUGUGUAUUGCCUGUUACUCUUCUAUUAUUGCCAUUCAGUUCUUUUGAAAAGAAUGUGGUGUGCAUAACAAAUGAAUAUACAGAGUGUUGGACAUGCUGAAUAUGUUAGAUAUCAAUAGAAGACAGAAUGCCUU